rnacentral:rRNA from 1 species
UGAGGAAUAUUGGUCAAUGGGCGAGAGCCUGAACCAGCCAAGUCGCGUGAGGGAUGACGGUCCUACGGAUUGUAAACCUCUUUUGUCGGGGAACAACAGGAGGCACGUGUGCCUUUGUGAGUGUACCCGAAGAAAAGCAUCGGCUAACUCCGUGCCAGCAGCCGCGGUAAUACGGAGGAUGCGAGCGUUAUCCGGAUUUAUGGGUUUAAAGGGAGCGUAGGCGGGAUGGUAAGUCAGCGGUCAAAUGUCCGUGCCCAACGCGGUCAUGCCGUUGAUACUGCCGUUCUUGAAUACACACAAGGG